CCUCUCCUUCCCGCUCAACAAAAUUUCUCUAUCUAUUAGCUCCAUCUUCUACACAUUCACAGAGCAGAGAGAGAGAGAGAGAGCGAAGAGAAAGAUGGUAUGCGACAACACAAUUGCCAAGCCUAUAUGCUCAGUCUGCUACGAAGAUCUCAAUCCAAUCAUCGAAGACCUUCAAUCAAUCUCCAUUUGCGGCCAUGUCUUCCACGAGCUCUGCCUUCAACAACGUAUCGAGUACUGUUCAAAUGCGAAGAAGAAACGGUGUCCUGUAUGCAAGCAGGCCUUUUCGGAGGCCAAUGUUAGUCGGCUUUAUUUCCAAUCAGUAGGCAAUCUCUAUCAGAAAUCGAUCAAUUGCGAAGAUAAUCCAGGGGAGUUGCGUAGGGAAAUUGAGACAUUGGAAGGGGAGGUUUUAGGACUCAGAUCGGCGAUAGAGCGUUAUCAGAAAGAUGUCGAAGAACUCAGCAAGGAGCUGUGUUUUAGCAAGGAGCAGGCCAGAAAGGAAGCAACAUUGAAGAAUGAAGCUUUACGACAGAAUGCAUCUAUUCAACAAUUGUUUCAUCUAAAAUCAGAGGAACUUGAUAGAUCAACUUUGGAGUGCGUGAGGCUGCAGGAAAGGAAUAUGGCAUUGGCCAAAGAACUUGCAGCAUUGAAACUGUCCUCUGAUUUGAACCUGGAGGAAGAGGAGGUUAUGAAACUUGCUUCUCUAGGUAACAAGGCCAACAAAAAAGAGACUAUAGACAUUUUAAAAAAGACUUUGGUCAGUUGCAACAAGAGUUGCAAAGAAUUGACAGCCAAAUGCAAUGUUCUAGGAAGAGGAGAGGCCCGUGCUCUUCGCAAACUCGGGAAGGCAAAAGAGAAGAUAAAGAAACUGAAGGCAAGGAUCCAAGAACUGAAGACAGCUGUUGAAGUAAAAGAUAAUGAAGUUUUGAGGGCUUUAAAAGCUUCCAAGAAAACUAUUCUUGAAGGGGAUAUACUGAACGAUGUUGAUUGGAAUUCUAACUCUUCAUCCAUUAGUGAGGAUUUAGCUGUCGAGAAAAACUGUUUUUCAAGGUCAGAGGCAGCUUCAGAUACAAGAAGUGAAGUGCAUAGACCAUGUAACAAGGAUGGGGUUUCAGGUUCAAGGAGUGUUAGUAAGGGUGAUACAAUACAUACUUCAUGUGCUGCUAUGGAUGAAGACACACUGUUGUUUCUUGAUGACAUUAAACAAGUUCAAUCCUUUAUAAAUGUCGAAAAGGAAUCACCCUGUUCAUUUCCAAUUUCCCAACCAGGAGACCUUUGUUUUGCUGGUGGGUUGCUAGGCCCUGAUGGAACUAAAAGGCAUUUGGGGAAAUGGUGCAAGCGGGCUCAGGCUAAAGGAUCAGCUGUAUCAUCCAUGGCAAUGCAAGGAUCAAGCACAAGUAGUAGGAAUUUAAUUGCUGAUGAAGCUGAGGGCAGAGGUGGCAAAAUCAAAAUUCUGAGAUCUCUAAAUUAGUUGUCAUUGUAGGGAAACUUAAAAGAGAUGCAAGUUUGGAGCAAAAACAAGUAGUUUGCACUUUGCAGUCUCUAUGAUGCUUGCAAAUUAAACUGGAAGGUCAAUAAUCAAAUCUGGAAGCAUCAAGGCCCAGAGGAUCAUCAAUUGCUGCACAGAAGUGUUGCGCAUGCACACUCCUUGGUUGCUGAGUGCUCUAGAAAUAAGGUAAAUAUGACUAUACUGAGUUCUUGUCUCUAUUUUUUAUUUUCAUAAUGUGCUGGAAAAUUGUAAGUGUUGGUAGAGGUAUUGAAAAAUCUAUAGUAAACUGCAUGUGCAGGUUUUGGUCCAAGUGUUUGUGCAAAUGU